AUUGAACGCUGGCGGCAUGCCUAACACAUGCAAGUCGAACGGCAGCACAGCAGUAGCAAUACUGUGGGUGGCGAGUGGCGGACGGGUGAGGAAUACGUCGGAAUCUGCCCAGUCGUGGGGGAUAACUAGCCGAAAGGUUAGCUAAUACCGCAUACGACCGAGAGGUGAAAGCGGGGGACCGCAAGGCCUCGCGCGAUUGGAUGAGCCGACGUCGGAUUAGCUAGUUGGCGGGGUAAAGGCCCACCAAGGCGACGAUCCGUAGCUGGUCUGAGAGGAUGAUCAGCCACACUGGAACUGAGACACGGUCCAGACUCCUACGGGAGGCAGCAGUGGGGAAUAUUGGACAAUGGGCGCAAGCCUGAUCCAGCAAUGCCGCGUGUGUGAGGAAGGCCUCGGUU
rnacentral:rRNA from 1 species